AAGUUCGAGCCGGUAACGCGGGGCAACCUGGCGACGAGCGGCGGACGGGUGAGUAACGCGUAGGAAUCUACCUGGUAGUGGGGGAUAGCCCGGGGAAACUCGGAUUAAUACCGCAUACGCCUUAAGGGGGAAAGCGGGGGUCGCAAGACCUCGCGCUAUCAGAAGAGCCUGCGUUGGAUUAGCUAGUUGGUAGGGUAAAGGCCUACCAAGGCGACGAUCCAUAGCUGGUCUGAGAGGAUGAUCAGCCACACUGGGACUGAGACACGGCCCAGACUCCUACGGGAGGCAGCAGUGGGGAAUAUUGGACAAUGGGGGCAACCCUGAUCCAGCCAUGCCGCGUGUGUGAAGAAGGCCUUCGGGUUGUAAAGCACUUUAAGUGGGGAGGAAGGGGUCAACGCUAAUACCGUUGAUCAUUGACGCUACCCACAGAAUAAGCACCGGCUAACUCUGUGCCAGCAGCCGCGGUAAUACAGAGGGUGCAAGCGUUAAUCGGAAUUACUGGGCGUAAAGCGCGCGUAGGCGGCUAAUUAAGUCGGGUGUGAAAGCCCCGGGCUCAACCUGGGAAUUGCAUCCGAUACUGAUUGGCUAG
rnacentral:rRNA from 1 species